rnacentral:rRNA from 1 species
GACGAACGCUGGCGGCGUGCCUAAUACAUGCAAGUCGAACGAACUCUGGUAUUGAUUGGUGCUUGCAUCAUGAUUUACAUUUGAGUGAGUGGCGAACUGGUGAGUAACACGUGGGAAACCUGCCCAGAAGCGGGGGAUAACACCCGGAAACAGAUGCUAAUACCGCAUAACAACUUGGACCGCAUGGUCCGAGUUUGAAAGAUGGCUUUGGCUGUCACUUUUGG